rfam:Myotis brandtii contig180229, whole genome shotgun sequence.
GGCAGUUCUCGGGUGUUGCACCCUGAAAUUGGGCUCCCUCCUCUCUGGUUCCGGUUGUGUCACCCGAGAACCGCA